UGUGCAGACGUGCUCUGGGAAACCCUGCCCCACAGUCAGGAAUUGUUAUUGUUACUGGAAGUGAUUAGCAGCAGACAUGGUUUCAUCGCCCUCCUAAGAGACGGUGCCUGAGCCCAGAGGAUCCUGGGAAACGGCCGACCGGAGGUGCACCGAGGAGGGCCAUGUGCAGGGAGAGGUAAGGCUGCGGCUUAGCGUGGGGGAAACCUUAGGCUCCGCAAAUAUUUAGCUUGUCGCCCAGAGCUGGGCGGAGACCUACCUGUGCUGGGAGGCUCUGCAGAGGCCAGCCCAGUGCCCUGCUCUCUCCCCGGAAGCCCUCUUGUGCACCACUUGGCUCCCCCUGGAAAAGGAGGGAUCCCCACUCUCCUGUCUCCCUCAUCUGCAGGAAAUCAGGAUCUAGACAAAUGCCUGGAGCUGUGUGCAGAGGUGCAUGAGGAGCAUAGAGAGGAGGCAGGAAAGAGGAGCCGAGCAGAGGUCCCUGACUUUUUAGACCUGGGAAUUCAUCGAUUCUGCACAACCUCCCAAGAAGCAGUGCCUCAGAGAGGUCAAGCAACCUGCCAGAGGUCACACAGCUAGGCAUUGGCUUCAGAAAAGAAGGAUGAAAGGAUGAGCUACCAAGGGUCAGCUCUGAGCUGGGGGCAGUGGUGUGAGGAACAAGGGAAGGAACUGGUAUUUACUGAGCAUCUACUAUCUGCCACUCCAUGUGGGCACUUUUCUUAUUGACCAAGUAUUGUUCUUGAAUUGUUCUUAAUGCAGAAACUUGGGUGUUUUGAACUCUGUUUUGUUUUUCUUGAGUGCUUUCCUUGCUCUCCAAGCCACAUGUCAACACAGUGAGCUGCUGGGAAAGGUAAUCUCAGUCAUUCGCAGACAUUCUCAGGGCUGCCGUCCAAGGCCCAUGCACAUAUCCUCAGUCUGGGGGCAGCCUAAGUCCUGCAGUAGGGACGGAGUCUCAUCAGUGCGGAGUCCUUGCUGGAUGAGAUGCGUGGUCCUGAGGGGUCCCUGCGGGACAGGAAGCCCUGAUUAGGGUUUCUCUGGCAAGGGCCUAAAUCCCCGCGAUGUUCCACCUGUGGACAGUUGUCAGGGACAGUUGUCAAGGACUCUGGAACCAGACGGUGCAGGCUCACACUCCAGCUCUACCACCCACAGCGGCGCAGACUCGGUAACUGGCUUAAUCUCUCUCUGCCUCCCUCUCUAGGAAAUGGAAAUUUAAAAAUAGGGUAAGAGUUAAAUGGACGUAAGUCACUUAGAAGAGGGCCCGCCCAGAGGAGCCUGAGUCGGGAACAGGCAGAAGCUUCUCACGGGUUCUCUUCUCUCUUCUCUCCUGCUCCUCCGUGACACCUGGCAACGGGUGCCCAGGUGCGGGGAGGGUGGGGGGCAGGAUGUCCGCCCAGUGCUCCCUGGGGUUUCCAUCACUUUGAUAUCGAUGCGAAUCACCCGUUAGACCAAGGACUGACCUCAGCAGCUCCUGCCCUAACAGACGGGAAAGGAAAUGGGGAAGCACAGGAAGAGGAGGUGCAGGUCCCGAGUCCAGGGCAGGUGGAAUGAGGAGGCACAGGUGCGUCCCGCCGGCCUCCAGGGUCUCCCUUGACUUAGAGGCCCCUGGCCUCGCCUCUGCUGGCCUGCCCGCCCUGCAGCCUCCUGUAUUUGUCCGGUUCUCCCUCUCUGACCACCCGCUGUCCCAAGCCCUUCCAGCCCUGGGUCAAAGUCCUCCAGCCAAGUCGGACCCCAGGUCCCGGAGUUUUCCACCUGUUGAGUGGAUCAGGACCCCGUCCCACGGAGGAGCCAUGAUUUGUCUGGGGUCCCCCAAUGAGGCAAGGGCAGAAAGAGGACCCAGGUUUGCUGACCCCCACCCCAUCCUGUGCGCUUGCCCAGAUGAGCUCACAGAGUCCAGACCAGCAGCUGUCACCAAGGGGUGACAGCUUCCCUCAGAGGACAUUUGACAAUGUCCGGUGACAAUUUCAGUUGACACCACUGGAGGUGGCGACUGGCGUUCAGUGGGUGGAGACCAAGGAUGCUGCUAAACAUCCUGCAACGCUCAGCGGAGUCCCGUGCUGCAGGGAAGGACCUGGCCCCAAACAGCAGUGGGCUGGGGACCCCGGCCAGCCUCACACGUGGCAUUGAACCUUGCAAAGAUUACUUAACGGGUUCCCCUCCCGUGAAAGGACACCAUCACACUACCCGGUGCACAGAAUUUGGGAGUGUUUAACGACCUAAUGCGUGUCCAUUGCUGCACCUACCACCUGGCAGGGGACCAGCUGACUCUGACGAAUGGGGGAAGGGAUGGAGGCACCCACUGAGGUGUCCGUGGGGUGGCUCCCGAUGGCGUCCCACACCAAACUCCAAGAAGUGCACACAAGUGGAGUGGCACACUCAUGUCUAAUAGAGUUUCGAGUCUCCGUCCCCCUCCCCUCCCUCUGCAUUUGAGACUUGGAGUGUUCAUUUAAACAGAGAAACCGCAUUACCUGAUCUCCACGCAGAUCUGAGUUUCCAUUUUAAUUUGCCUUCAUUAUCUCUUUCUCUUAUUAAGAACAGUAAAUCUGUUUUGUGUUUUCAUUAUUCCAUUAGCUCGAGGAAGCUCAUCAGUAAUGUGGGGAGCUGCCAACACAAAUAGCACAAUUUUCAUACAAGCAAUGCAAUAAUUGACUUAAAUCGCUAUUCUGCAGAGGCCAUGGCUCACAAUUAAAGAAAGCAGCGUGGUUUGAAAACGAGUUACAAUUGAUUGGAUUUCAGGGGAAACCAGGUUUGGAAUGUGUUAAUUGCAUUCCGCCUAAACACCAGGUCUAAAUGAAGCAGCCAGAGAUUUGGGGAAAUAACAAAAUCUUCUCUAGCAACAGCCCCAAAUUGCUUAAUAGGCUGGGAGAGAUGUGAUUAAGACGGGGGGCUAAUGACUUCACUGUAUUUCGGGGGUGACAAGCUGAAAUUCUCCUCGUGGAAACUCCCCAGAGAGGAGGGCACACUUGGAGCUCUUUCAUGACGGGGCUGGGUUCCGGAGUCAGACGUCCCUGCCACCUGCUUCUGGACCUUCUUUUCCCUCUCAAACCGACAGUGACGCUCCAAGAUCAUGUGGGCUGCAGUCUCAAGACGCAUCUGGCCUUCUGCCCUAUUGCCACCGGGGCCCGGCUACUGGAGUCACCUCCCCACGGGUCUCCUGGGUUCCGUCUUGCCCCUGACACUCUCUUCUUGGUCUGCCUGUCAGAGUCCUGUCAGAACUGGCCAGACCCUGUCCCACCUGUGCUCAACCCUCCAAUAGCCUCCAAACCCUGUGGGGGUUAUGAGGUCAUAUGCAAUCUGCCCAUCAACUCACGGACCCCCUCAGUCACCAGGGAUGCCCAAGGUCCUUGGUGAUCUGCCCAGGUUUCCAGUCUCCUCUCUCAUCCCAGCCACCCAGGAUUGCUUACAAACCCCUGACGGUCCCAUGCUCUGCCUUGUCACAGAAUCUAGAAUAUCCUGUCCCAUCUCAGUCACCUGAGUCAUUCCUAAGGCCCCCCCCCUUGCCCAGAUCUUACUGGGUUCAUGACCCCCUUCUCAUGCUAAUCGUCCUCUUGAAGUUCUGAGAAAUUCUGGAUUAAAAAGUUUGCAGAAAACUAUUGUUUUGUGUGACUCGUGAUCCCAGACUCUGGGUUUCUAGACUUUCCCCUCCUCCCCGUGCCCCAGCGGCACAGAUAGAGCAGGACCAGGCACCCUGUGUCCUGGUACCUACUUCCUGAUCCCACCUGAUUGGUCCAAAGUGGACCAAUCAAAUUCCUUCCCUGGGAAUCCGACUGUAGCAUCCAGAUUUGAAUCUUGAUCCUGUGGCCCUUUCUCAUCUCUCUGCCAUUCAUUCUCUCCCUCUUUUCCUCCUUUUGCUUAAUUUUUAAUUCAUAAUUUUAUAUAAAGGAUGUAAAUGAUGGUAUGUUUGGUCCCCCUGUUCCUAUUGUUCCCCUCUUUUAUCCACCUCAUCCCUGUGACCUGGUGCUAGAGACCCAUGUUAACAACCCUUUCAAAAAUAUUUUUGUUUACACUGACAUCUCUAUCUGUGUUGUAGGACAAUAAAC
rnacentral:lncRNA from 1 species